UCCCCUACCUCUGAGUCACCAGUCUAGAGCUCAUCGAGGCUACCCAUGUGAAAGGAACUCCCUGGAAGGACAGACCCAGUGGCCAUGUCCACCUACGUGGCUGAGGAAGCGCCAGCUGGGCUUACCUGAGCUUGCUCCAGCUCCCUCUCCACAGCCGUUCUGGCACAUGCGGCUUCCUUUUCUUCGUUUCUGGCACACACAAGGGCUUCCUCAAGCUGCUGUACUUCACUCUACAAUGAAACAGAGAGACCAAAGGAUAUAAGGACGGAAGACAGACUGACUGAUACAGGGAAGACCUGGAGGCAGAGUAUCGAUGGUGGGCAAAGAUUGUUUAGCCCUGAGCACAGAUCUAGUUGUUUUUAAAGAUUUAUUUUGGGCCUGGAGAGAUGGCUCAGCGGUUAAGAGCACUGACUGCUCUUCCAGAGGUCCUGAGUUCAAUUCCCAGCAACCACA
rnacentral:lncRNA from 1 species